AGUGAACGCUGGCGGCAGGCCUAACACAUGCAAGUCGAACGAGUGGCGGACGGGUGAGGUAUACAUCGGAAUCUACCCUGUCGUGGGGGAUAACGUAGGGAAACUUACGCUCAUCCCGCAUACGAUUGAAUGAGCCGAUGUCGGAGUAGCUAGUUGGCGGGGUAAAGGCCCACCAAGGCGACGAUCCGUAGCUGUUCUGAGAGGAUGAUCGGCCACCCUGGAACUCAGAGACGUGCCAGACUCCUACGGUGGGCAGCAGUGGGGAAUCUUGGACAAUUGGUGCAAGCCUGAUCCAGCCAUACCGCGUGGAUGAAGAAGGCCUUCGGGUUGUAAAGGUCUUUUGUUGGAAAAGCGGUACCCGAAGAGAAAGCACCGGCUAACUUCGUGCCAGCAGCCGCGGUAAUAC
rnacentral:rRNA from 1 species